rnacentral:piRNA from 1 species
UAUGAAAUGAAGUUCUGCCAAUUCUACGA